rnacentral:rRNA from 1 species
AUUGAACGCUAGCGGGAUGCCUAACACAUGCAAGUCGAACGGAGUGGCGAACGGGUGAGUAAUGUAUCGGAACGUGCCCAGUAGCGGGGGAUAACUACGCGAAAGCGUAGCUAAUAACGCAUACUAUUGAAGCGGCGGAUAUCGGAUUAGAUAGUUGGUGGGGUAACGGCUCACCAAGGCGACGAUCCGUAGCUGGUUUGAGAGGAUGACCAGCCACACUGGGACUGAGACACGGCCCAGACUCCUACGGGAGGCAGCAGUGGGGAAUUUUGGCCAAUGGGCGAAACCCUGAUCCAGCCAUGCCGCGUGUGCGAAGAAGGCCUUCGGGUUGUAAAGCACUGUUGGCAGGGAAGCGGUACCUGCAGAAUAAGCACCGGCUAACUACGUGCCAGCCGCCGCGGUAAUUC